rnacentral:tRNA from 1 species
GGGACCGUAGCUCAAUUCGGGAGAGCGUCUGCCCUGCAAGCAGAAAGGUGCCGGUUCGAAUCCGGCCGGUUCCACCA